UGAGGAAUAUUGGUCAAUGGACGCAAGUCUGAACCAGCCAUGCCGCGUGCAGGAAGAAGGUGCUAUGCAUUGUAAACUGCUUUUAUACGGGGGGUAAUUACAGAUACGUGUAUCUGGUUGAAAGUACCGUAUGAAUAAGGAUCGGCUAACUCCGUGCCAGCAGCCGCGGUAAUACGGAGGAUCCGAGCGUUAUCCGGAUUUAUUGGGUUUAAAGGGUGCGUAGGCGGUCAGGUAAGUUAGAGGUGAAAGCUCGAUGCUCAACAUCGAAACUGCCUCUGAUACUGUCUGACUAGAGUGUAGUUGCGGAAGGCGGAAUGUGUGGUGUAGCGGUGAAAUGCUUAGAUAUCACACAGAACACCGAUUGCGAAGGCAGCUUUCCAAGCUAUUACUGACGCUGAGGCACGAAAGCGUGGGGGAGCGAACAGGAUUAGAUACC
rnacentral:rRNA from 1 species